CCACCCCCCUUGGCCUCCCAAAGUGCUGGGAUUAUAGGCAUGAGCCACCACACCCAGCCAGUCUCUGGGUUUUAACUCCUGCUUACCCAUUCAACUCUUUUGUGAAAACCUCGUCAACAAGAAUAAACUGCUGUAAUGAGGUUAACAUUUGUGUGUCACCACAAAGUAAUCCCACCCCGGUAAGGAAGUAAAUCAACAGAUUCAAAAAGCCUGGACUUGAAGAUAAUUUACAGGAUUAACAGAAAGCUAGAAAGAGCCAAAAUAUUCAGAAAUAGGACCGCAGUUAGUAAAUUACAGUAAAUUACCCUCCAUCAAUAUAAUGGACCACUAGGCUGACCUUAAUAAGAAUAAUUAUGAGGAAGCUAUUGGACCAACUAAAUGGCAUCACAUGACCCUGGGCCUUUGCAGCCAAGGUGUUUGGAACACCAGCUUUGGGAUUCAUUUUCUUGUUUGGUUUUGUUUUGUAGAAAUGAGGUUUCAUUAUGUGGCCUAGGCUGGUUUUGAAUUCUUGGCCUCAAGCAAUGGUCCCACCUUGCCCUUCCAAAGUGCUGGCUUUGUGAUUUAUUAAUAGUAGGAGUUGGAUAAAUAACCUGAUCUCUGAGGUUAAA